rnacentral:rRNA from 1 species
UUGUCAUUAGUUGCUACAUUCAGGUUGGGCACUCUAAGGUGACUGCCGGCUAAAAGUCGGAGGAAGUGGGGAUGACGUCAAAUCAUCAUGCCCCUUAUGACCUGGGCUACACACGUGCUACAAUGGGCGGUACAAAGGGUCGCGAACCCGCAGGGGGAGCCAAUCCCAAAAAGCCGCUCUCAGUUCGGAUUGCAGGCUGCAACUCGCCUGCAUGAAGCCGGAAUCGCUAGUAAUCGCGGAUCAGCAUGCCGCGGUGAAUACGUUCCCGGGCCUU